AGUUUUGCGCUGAGAUGAUAUCGGAACCGAUGAAGUUCUACUGAGGUGCGACUAUUGCUAGUUGUAAACUUUAACUAAUCUAAUAUAAUAAAUAUUAUAACUAAUUACUAUACAUAAAAUACAGAAUUGCUUUAAACA